UCAGAAAAGAAGCAUUUGUUAAGGCGCUUCAUCGAUUAUUAGCGUGUCGUAAAUUAUAAUUUUCCCGCCAUUUUGCGGAGAGUUCGAUAUUGAAGAACAGGUAAUUGAACUAAUAAGUGUUUAUCGGAUGCUUUGUUAUGCAAUGAAUCAUUUUUCUGAGUCGUGGGAGUCAGGGAUGCGAUCUUUUGUGUCUCGUUAAACCGAUGAAGAGCGGAAAGAAUUAGAAGAAAAUAUCCUUGGGCUCUCACGAAUCUCGAAUCCAUCACUUUUGGACGAUUUUACACUGCAGAAGUGUGGUUCGGAAAGAGUCAGAAAAUCGUUUUUUCUGAGAUCACCUUGAGACCAAAAAAGAAAACAUUUCUGGAGUUACGUCUCUCUUUAUUUUUGAUCCUGUUAGUCCAAACACGGAAGGAACAAGACAAAUGAAAUUUGGUAUG